rnacentral:tRNA from 1 species
GCCCAGAUGGCGGAACUUGGUAUACGCGUAUGCUUGAGGUGCAUAUGCCGCAAGGCUUGGGAGUUCGAGUCUCCCUCUGGGCA